AUGCUUUUAAACGCUAAUACGGAAAACGAUCGCUAACUUGGUUAACGUCUCCUGCAUGCUGUGCAUAAUUAAAGCUUCCAGCCAUCGACCUUGCUCCACUCACCGAGAUUGGCUCGAUGAAUAACUCAGAAGCUGUGAAUAAGAGUGGCCGAGCUUCUACGAGUUGCAAUCUGUUGCAUGCAAAUUCGUUGGUGCGUCUUGUCUGAACUGUGGCGAAUUCGUGGUAGCGUGUUGUGUGUCCGUACGGUUUAAUGACGCGUGAAAGUGUUCUGGCUGAAUUACUUUUAUUUUUUUCCACAACACACAGUGAUACGAUUUCAAGAUGAAUAACGCGGAGCGAUAAGCAAAAUUUCAAGAUAAAGAAAUUAAAUCGAUAAGAUUUUUAUUGAUACUCGAUCAAGGAAUAGUUUGACCAAUCGUUUCUUAUCCAAAAAUGACAAUUAUUGGAAUACAUUGAUUAUGCUACUUGGCGCUGUCAGCAAUCCACAUGUUAAUGCCGUCGCUGAGCAUUAAUAUUAUUGAUUCUUAUUUCAAUGGGAGCUGCCCGCUCGUCUUUUUCAUACAACUAAAAGAACCAGACGUGCUCUGCUUCUCUCUGGUCUCUAAUUAACGAAGCAUCCCUCAGAGCAUCACGAAGAUCUUCGUCAAGCGUUAUCGUAGCUCGUGAUGUCGAAGCUGAUGAGGUCUGCGUCGAGUCCGAUUCAACGAAAGCUGCUAUCAGCAAUGACUCUGUCCUCUCUUCCCACGCGUAACACAAUCUAAUCAAUUUCUUAGAUAUAUAUCGAGCUUAUCAAAGAAUCUCCACAGCCAUGUCGUGGCGCGACACUACAGUGGAUGGGAGCGACACCCGAUGAUAAUUUCUGAGAGUGACUUACAUAUUUUUCUUUACAAAUUUUUUUACUUAUUUUUUAUAUUCCUAAUAUAUAUUUUUACUCGUUCCUCGACAAAUCGACAUCUUAGCCGAACGUGCAUCCUGAUCAGAUCAUUGACUUACCUUCCAGGUUCUUAUUGCGAGCAAGAAGAGCAAGUAGAACGUCAGGAUUGGGUGGUGCGUCGGUGAGAUCUGCAGAGUCGUGGUGUCCCGGGGCUAAGGAUUCUCCCAGGGGUGGCAUAGGUCCCGGUGGUGGUCUUGGCAUCAUCACGGGUCCAGCGCCAAGAGGAGGCAAUGGCAAUCCGCCACCGGUACCACCGCCACUUCCCGGUGGAUGAAGUAUGUUGUGGCUCUGAGGCCCAUUCGAGGGUGGUUGGACGGCGGCGGACAUCGACAGGUCCACACCCCCGAGUAAGACAGGACGACAGUUCGUCACUGCCGGGAGGAUACCGCCACCUCCCGGCAGCGGUGCGUAAGGCAGGAUCCUGCGCGAAUUCCACCACGUAUUACGAAUGGGAAUUUUGGAGCCACGCGAUGUUCUGUAAUACGACAGUCCGCGACGAUGACGUCUACGACUUCAAAGUCCCGUCGGGAACACACAAUGUCGCGACAAGUCCCCGAGAAGUUUACUCGAUUUUUAUUCUCCGUUUAUACAAUGAACAACGAAGGAUGUCCUUGAUCCAGGUUUUCAUGUAUUGACGAAACCCUUCUUUUUUCUUUCUUCAAUAAACGUUAACGUCGCUUCUAGCUGUAAAAGCGACGCAACCAAUGAGUCUUGA